UACAUGCAAGUCGAGCGAACAGAUAAGGAGCUUGCUCCUUUGACGUUAGCGGCGGACGGGUGAGUAACACGUGGGUAACCUACCUAUAAGACUGGGAUAACUUCGGGAAACCGGAGCUAAUACCGGAUAACAUUUGGAACCGCAUGGUUCUAAAGUGAAAGAUGGUUUUGCUAUCACUUAUAGAUGGACCCGCGCCGUAUUAGCUAGUUGGUAAGGUAACGGCUUACCAAGGCAACGAUACGUAGCCGACCUGAGAGGGUGAUCGGCCACACUGGAACUGAGACACGGUCCAGACUCCUACGGGAGGCAGCAGUAGGGAAUCUUCCGCAAUGGGCGAAAGCCUGACGGAGCAACGCCGCGUGAGUGAUGAAGGGUUUCGGCUCGUAAAACUCUGUUAUUAGGGAAGAACAAACGUGUAAGUAACUGUGCACGUCUUGACGGUACCUAAUCAGAAAGCCACGGCUAACUACGUGCCAGCAGCCGCGGUAAUACGUAGGUGGCAAGCGUUAUCCGGAAUUAUUGGGCGUAAAGCGCGCGUAGGCGGUUUCUUAAGUCUGAUGUGAAAGCCCACGGCUCAACCGUGGAGGGUCAUUGGAAACUGGGAAACUUGAGUGCAGAAGAGGAAAGUGGAAUUCCAUGUGUAGCGGUGAAAUGCGCAGAGAUAUGGAGGAACACCAGUGGCGAAGGCGACUUUCUGGUCUGUAACUGACGCUGAUGUGCGAAAGCGUGGGGAUCAAACAGGAUUAGAUACCCUGGUAGUCCACGCCGUAAACGAUGAGUGCUAAGUGUUAGGGGGUUUCCGCCCCUUAGUGCUGCAGCUAACGCAUUAAGCACUCCGCCUGGGGAGUACGACCGCAAGGUUGAAACUCAAAGGAAUUGACGGGGACCCGCACAAGCGGUGGAGCAUGUGGUUUAAUUCGAAGCAACGCGAAGAACCUUACCAAAUCUUGACAUCCUUUGAAAACUCUAGAGAUAGAGCCUUCCCCUUCGGGGGACAAAGUGACAGGUGGUGCAUGGUUGUCGUCAGCUCGUGUCGUGAGAUGUUGGGUUAAGUCCCGCAACGAGCGCAACCCUUAAGCUUAGUUGCCAUCAUUAAGUUGGGCACUCUAGGUUGACUGCCGGUGACAAACCGGAGGAAGGUGGGGAUGACGUCAAAUCAUCAUGCCCCUUAUGAUUUGGGCUACACACGUGCUACAAUGGACAAUACAAAGGGCAGCUAAACCGCGAGGUCAUGCAAAUCCCAUAAAGUUGUUCUCAGUUCGGAUUGUAGUCUGCAACUCGACUACAUGAAGCUGGAAUCGCUAGUAAUCGUAGAUCAGCAUGCUACGGUGAAUACGUUCCCGGGUCUUGUACACACCGCCCGUCACACCACGAGAGUUUGUAACACCCGAAGCCGGUGGAGUAACCAUUUAUGGAGCUAGC
rnacentral:rRNA from 1 species